GGGAGAGAGAGGGCUGGCGUUUGGGGCCAGCAAUUGUAAAACGGGGGGGGAGGGGAAAGACAGGCUGACUUUAGGAAGUGGAAAGGAGGAGACGGGGGGGGAGCGGUGUGGGCUUGGUGACAUCUCUCCCCUUGGCCCAAAGUGUCCAACCCAGGUGGACAAGGAAUGCUGCGCCCCGAGAACGCGCCUCACCCCAAACCACUAAGCGGCUGAAGGCCGGCUCCACGUUCUGCGGACCGAUUUAAAGGCCCCACAGUUCUACCCACUAGGUUUCCCAAGAAAGCAGGACGUCCCCAGUGUUUACUUUGGAGGAAAGAGGGAUCGAUCCCGCCUCUCGAGUUAAUCCCAUUGAAAGGACGACGCGAGGAGAGAGGCCGUUUCCAUUCUGAUCCGUUCGCCCCCUAAAUAAGAGGCCUCUUCGGUCUUCCUUGAUCAGCCCUGGACAUGUGUUCCCCAUUUAGACAAAAAGAAACUUUUCACACAUCACAAAACAGCCCAGCUCGGAGUGGAGUGGACGCUUGUGAUCGGAAUGCAAGGGAGGCCAAACAGAUCUGCAGGGGAACGUGGGAUGACCGGUUGAUAUCCUCUGACCCAUUCAGGCAUCAUCCAUACACAACUUCAGAGAAGAUCUGUUCAAAGCAGCUGAUGGAUGAGUGACUGCCACGGGCAAAGAUUUCAUCCAGAUACAAAUUUUUGCCAACAGUUUGUCCAAUAAAUAUAUUUUUUGUCCACCA
rnacentral:lncRNA from 1 species